rnacentral:rRNA from 1 species
GACGAACGCUGGCGGCGUGCUUAACACAUGCAAGUCGAGCGGUAAGGCCCUUUCGGGGGUACACGAGCGGCGAACGGGUGAGUAACACGUGGGUGACCUGCCCUUAGCUCUGGGAUAAGCCUGGGAAACUGGGUCUAAUACCGGAUAUGACCUCAUGACUCAUGUUGUGGGGUGGAAAGCCUUGUGCGGCUAGGGAUGGGCCCGCGGCCUAUCAGCUUGUUGGUGGGGUAAUUGCCACCAAGGCGACGACGGGUAGCCGGCCUGAGAGGGCGACCGGCCACACUGGGACUGAGACACGGCCCAGACUCCUACGGGAGGCAGCAGUGGGGAAUCUUGCGCAAUGGGCGAAAGCCUGACGCAGCGACGCCGCGUGAGGGAUGACGGCCUCGGUG